CCCGGAGUAGCUCAGUUGGUAGAGCAGGUGGCUGUUAACCACUUUGUGGGGGGUUCGAGCCCCUCCUCCGAGC
rnacentral:tRNA from 1 species